UAUACCUUUAAGGUACCCCUACCCUGUAGCAAUGGUAUGGCCCAAUUGAGAAAGGGGCGGAGCUACACAUAAAAAAAGAGCAGUGUAUGACAUCGUUGACAGAACCAUUUAAAGCACCAUUAUUUUUCAGGGGCAGGUGAUAAAGCAGUUAUCCAGGAGGUCAUUCUGGCCUCUAUCACAUCAGGCUGGAGGAGGGAGAGGAGGCUGUCGUUCUGCACUGAUAACACUGUGACGGACACAGAUGGCCUGGGCCGGGUCCAGCUGUACUCUGAAGGUCACUAAGAGCAGCGCAGUGUGAGAGAGACGUCAAAAGCCAUAGCCGUGAGAAGGAAGACGUUCGGUGCCCAGAGAAAUGAGUGGAUAAUAGGGGUA
rnacentral:lncRNA from 1 species